UACGUAGGGUGCAAGCGUUAUCCGGAUUCACUGGGUUUAAAGGGUGCGUAGGUGGGUUGGUAAGUCAGUGGUGAAAUCCCCGAGCUUAACUUGGGAACUGCCAUUGAUACUAUCAGUCUUGAAUACCGUGGAGGUCAGCGGAAUAUGUCAUGUAGCGGUGAAAUGCUUAGAUAUGACAUAGAACACCAAUUGCGAAGGCAGCUGGCUACACGAAUAUUGACACUGAGGCACGAAAGCGUGGGGAUCAAACAGG
rnacentral:rRNA from 1 species